AUUGAACGCUGGCGGCAGGCCUAACACAUGCAAGUCGAGCGAGCGGCGGACGGGUGAGUAAUGUAUGGGUAUCUGCCCGAUGGAGGGGGAUAACUACUGGAAACGGUGGCCAAUACCGCAUUCUAUCGGAUGAACCCAUAUGGGAUUAGCUAGUGGGUGGGGUAAAGGCUCACCUAGGCGACGAUCCCUAGCUGGUCUGAGAGGAUGACCAGCCACACUGGGACUGAGACACGGCCCAGACUCCUACGGGAGGCAGCAGUGGGGAAUAUUGCACAAUGGGCGAAAGCCUGAUGCAGCCAUGCCGCGUGUAUGAAGAAGGCCUUCGGGUUGUAAAGUACUUUCAGCGGGGAGGCGUUACCCGCAGAAGAAGCACCGGCUAACUCCGUGCCAGCAGCCGCGGUAAUAC
rnacentral:rRNA from 1 species